rnacentral:rRNA from 1 species
AUUGGGACUGCGAAGCCUAAAGGCGCAAUGAAAGUGAAGGUCGCGCCAACCAAGGUCGACCGAGGGAGGAUGGGCCGCGUUUGCGCGCGGCUCCGCACUCCCGGGGCGUCUCGUUCUCAUUGCGAGAAGAGGCGCACCCAGAGCGUACACGUUGGGACCCGAAAGAUGGUGAACUAUGCCUGGUCAGGACGAAGUCAGGGGAAACCCUGAUGGAGGUCCGUAGCGAUUCUGACGUGCAAAUCGAUCGUCGGAACUGGGUAUAGGGGCGAAAGACUAAUCGAACCAUC